rnacentral:rRNA from 1 species
AACGAACGCUGGUGGCAGGCCUAACACAUGCAAGUCGAGCGCCGUAGCAAUACGGAGCGGCAGACGGGAGAGUAACACGUGGGAACGUACCCUUUGGUUCGGAACAACCCAGGGAAACUUGGGCUAAUACCGGAUAAGCCCUCACGGGGAAAGAUUUAUCGCCGAAGGAACGGCCCGCGUCCGAUUAGCUUGUUGGUGAGGUAAUGGCUCACCAAGGCGACGAUCGGUAGCUGGUCUGAGAGGAUGACCAGCCUCACUGGGACUGAGACACGGCCCAGACUCCUACGGGAGGCAGCAGUGGGGAAUAUUGGACAAUGGGCGCAAGCCUGAUCCAGCCAUGCCGCGUGGGUGAUGAAGGCCCUAGGGUUGUAAAGCCCUUUCGGCGGGGAAGAUAAUGACGGUACCCGCAGAAGAAGCCCCGGCUAACUUCGUGCCAGCCGCCGCGGUAAAAC